AGCGAACGCUGGCGGCAGGCUUAACACAUGCAAGUCGAGCGCCCGUAGCAAUACGGGAGCGGCAGACGGGUGAGUAACGCGUGGGAACAUGCCCUUCGGUUCGGAAUAACCCAGGGAAACUUGGGCUAAUACCGAAUACGUCCGUGAGGAGAAAGAUUUAUCGCCGAAGGAUUGGCCCGCGUCGGAUUAGCUAGUUGGUGAGGUAACGGCUCACCAAGGCGAUGAUCCGUAGCUGGUCNGAGAGGACGAUCA
rnacentral:rRNA from 1 species